rnacentral:rRNA from 1 species
UCCGGUGCCCAUAGCGAGGCUGAAACACCCGUUCCCAUCCCGAACACGGCCGUUAAGCGCCUCAGCGGCGAUGGUACUGCAUAUUUGACUGUGGGAGAGUAGCACGGUGCCGGGA